rnacentral:tRNA from 1 species
GGGCCUGUAGCAUAAUUGGUUAAUGCAGUCGACUCAUAAUCGAUUGACUGGGGGUUCAAGUCCCUCCAGGCCCACCA